UACGGGAGGCAGCAGUGAGGAAUAUUGGUCAAUGGACGAGAGUCUGAACCAGCCAAGUAGCGUGAAGGAUGACUGCCCUAUGGGUUGUAAACUUCUUUUAUACGGGAAUAAAGUGAGCCACGUGUGGCUUUUUGUAUGUACCGUAUGAAUAAGGAUCGGCUAACUCCGUGCCAGCAGCCGCGGUAAUACGGAGGAUCCGAGCGUUAUCCGGAUUUAUUGGGUUUAAAGGGAGCGUAGGCGGGUUGUUAAGUCAGUUGUGAAAGUUUGCGGCUCAACCGUAAAAUUGCAGUUGAUACUGGCGACCUUGAGUGCGACAGAGGUAGGCGGAAUUCGUGGUGUAGCGGUGAAAUGCUUAGAUAUCACGAAGAACUCCGAUUGCGAAGGCAGCUUACUGGAUUGUAACUGACGCUGAUGCUCGAAAGUGUGGGUAUCAAACAGGAUUAGAUACCCUGGUAGUCCACACAGUAAACGAUGAAUACUCGCUGUUGGCGAUAUACAGUCAGCGGCCAAGCGAAAGCAUUAAGUAUUCCACCUGGGGAGUACGCCGGCAACGGUGAAACUCAAAGGAAUUGACGGGGGCCCGCACAAGCGGA
rnacentral:rRNA from 1 species